rnacentral:rRNA from 1 species
GAUGAACGCUGGCGGCGUGCCUAAUACAUGCAAGUCGAGCGAACAGACGAGGAGCUUGCUCCUCUGACGUUAGCGGCGGACGGGUGAGUAACACGUGUAUAACCUACCUAUAAGACUGGGAUAACUUCGGGAAACCGGAGCUAAUACCGGAUAAUAUAUUGAACCGCAUGGUUCAAUAGUGAAAGACGGUUUUGCUGUCACUUAUAGAUGGCUCCGCGCCGCAUUAGCUAGUUGGUAAGGUAACGGCUUACCAAGGCAACGAUGCGUAGCCGACCUGAGAGGGUGGUCGCCCACACUGGAAGUGAGACGCGGUCCAGACUCCUACGGGAGGCAGCAGUAGGGAAUCUUCCGCGAUGGGCGAGAGCCUGACGGAGGAACGCCGCGUGAGUGAUGAAGGUCUUCGGAUCGUAAAACUCUGUUGUUAGGGAAGAACAAAUGUGUAAGUAGCUAUGCACGUCUUGACGGUACCUAAUCAGAAAGCCACGGCUAACUACGUG